AACUCUUAGCGGUGGGUCACUUGGCUCGUGCAUUGAUGAAGAAUGCAGCUAGGUGCAAGAACUAAUGUGAAUUUCAGGACACAUUGAUCAUCAACACUUCGAAUGCACCUUGCGACCCCAGAUUCUGACGCCUGCCUGAGGGUCG
rnacentral:rRNA from 1 species